GACGAACGCUGGCGGCGUGGAUUAGGCAUGCAAGUCGAACGGUAUCAUCCUUUCGGGGGUGAGAGAGUGGCGAACUGGUGAGUAACACGUAGGUUAUCUACCCUCAAGACGGGGACAACCCAGGGAAACUUGGGCUAAUACCGGAUGUGAGCAACUUUUAGUUGUUUGAAAGGUGGCGUAAGCUGUCGCUUGGGGAUGAGCCUGCGUCCUAUUAGUUAGUUGGUGAGGUAACGGCUCACCUAGGCAAUGAUAGGUAGGCGGCCUUAACGGGUGGUCGCCCACACUGGGAUUGAGAUACGGCCCAGACUCCUACGGGAGGCAGCAGUCGAGAAUAGUCUACAAUGGUCGGAAGACUGAUAGUGCGACGCCGCGUGAACGAUGAAUCCCUUCGGGGUGUAAAGUUCUUUUAUAUGUGAGCAGUGCUUCUUAUAUUAACAGUAUGGGGAAGAGAUAUUAGCAUAUGAAUAAGCAACGGCUAACUCCGUGCCCAGCAGCCGCGGUAAACUCG
rnacentral:rRNA from 1 species